GGCUUCUGUGGGCGAGAAGAAGCAAAAAACACAUUUUGCAUUAGAGUAUGAUUUAUUGUUGGCGUCAGAGAUGCAAAAUAACGAAUACUUCAAUACUGUACUUAAGUAGAAUUUUCUGGUAUCUUUACUUUACUGCUGUACUUUUUUGUGCCUACUGUAUACUUCUUUAUACUUCUACUUCUCACAUUUUAGCACGCGUAUCUGUACUUUGUAAUCCGUACAUUUGUAAAUCAGCCCCCCGCACGCGUGCUUUGGACGCAAGAUUACUUCAAAAUUUUGUACAUAAAUUAUAUUUUAGACCCUGUACUUCUUACUUCGACUUGACUAAAAAGUCGAGUCGGUGCUUUUUAAACAGAGGUAUCUAAACUGUAGUAAGGAACGUGUGUACUUGUGACACCUUUGGUUAGCGUCAACACUGUAAAUUUCGUCACAAACAGAUUUAUAUAUUUAUCAAUACUUCUAUUCGUCAUUCUUUUCUGUACAGCUUUUUUAUUGCCCAGAUUUUAGUUAGCCUCUGUUCAAUUGACUGUUAUAUGUCAAUAGAAACAUGUCUCACAAAUUAAAGUGUCUUGUAAAAUAUUUGUGGGGUUUUUUUUUCAAGAAUUUUCUUCCCAAAUCUAUUACAUGCCAACUGUAAAUUGUUAUUUCUGCUAAAACCUUAACUUAAAUGUGUAUAUGGUGUUUAUCUGUUUCUCUCUCUGUUUUAGAUGCACACAUCAAUCUGGAAUUCGGCUUAAAGCCAGAAUUGCAGGAAUGCAACACGUGUUGCAGAGGACUCUUUCACUGCCCUCUGUGCCCCACUUUCAGCCCUACUGUCAGGGCAAAGAUUGAGGAGCAUCUAAGUGUGCAUAUAAAAAAUGCUUUGCCUUUCAAAGAUAAAAUGAUAUGCCGGUGCAGGCUGCCUUGUAGGACAACAGGACACUUUCACCGCCCUGUCUGUAAGAUUACAAUCAUACGGCGUGGGGAUAUGGCAAGGCAUUUAUUGUCUUGUCAGCAUUCUUCAAUGCCAAGUCAGCCACCAUUAUCAGGACUGCUCCCCGCUGAACUCUCCGAGGAGACCCGUAUUCCUCCGGCAGUACUCUUCGAGGAGCCCCGUCUCCCCCCCAAGGUUUUGUCUUCGGUAUCUGAACCAUUUUCUGAGUCUUUGUUAGAACAUUCAUUGCUCUACCCUCUGUGUUCAAUAAAACUGCAGCUGAUGGAAAGUCCAUGAAAAUGACAUGCCCUCACUGUGGCCUUACUCUUCGUAGCUCUGGCAAGCUAUUUGCACACUGGAGAGAGGAAGCCAAAGCUGUGCUUGAAGGACAACACGUGCCCAUUUUCAGACUGAAAAAGCGCAAGUUCCAGGAAGUCAGUCAGGAGCCAGCAGUUGUUGAAGAUCUGCGUCCUGCUGUGCAGUGGGCUGUCCAAAAUAAGGCACUUUUCCGUGGACACGUAACAAUGCCCAAAUAUCUGUCCUUAAAUCAAGGGGACCAGCAGAGGGUCUUAAGAGACAUGUCAGAGGAAGAAGACACUGGAGCAAGGGACUUGUUCCUCUUUGUUUUUCAGUUUGCAGAGGACAUGGAGCUCUUUUUGAAAGCAUGUGCUGAUGAGCAGGGGCUAAGGGUCAGUGCUAUGUUUGACAUGUAAUGGACAAAUGAAGGCACUGGCUGUUUGUUUGUUUGUUUAAUAUGUUGUUGUUUUUUUGUUUUGUUUUUGCGUAGUACAAAAUUCCAAUUAAACUUAUUUCAAAAUGUUGUUCACUUUAUUCUGUGUCCAUACUUAUAAUAAAGGAUUACAGUGUAACAGCAUUAAAUGUAAAUGUAACAGCAUUUUUUUUAAACUUGUAAUUUCAAAAUAAAAAGCUUAUUGUUGAUAUUAACAGUAAA